rnacentral:lncRNA from 1 species
CUAUUGGGGUAAACAAACAGGCCCUUAGCCAUUUUUUCUGUUAGACUGCAGAUAGUUCUUAGCCUUUUGAUUGCCAUUAUUUUUUAAUAGCUUUGUGCCCCGUAAAUUACAGGCUUUACAUACUUGGCGUGCCACAUAAUAUAAUAUGUAUUUGAUUUUCAUGAUAAGACAUUAAUAUAUGAUAGUAUGAUGUAUCUUAGGUUCCUGGAAGUACCAUGAGAGACUCUUUUUUGGUGAAUGGUGUUGCAUUCAAGAAGACGUUUUCAUAUGCAGGAUUUGAGCAACAACCAAAGAAGUGUGGAUGGCUUCAGUUUGCGCUUUGCCUAUAUGAACAUAAGCCACUUCUACCCGAACCUGAAAACAAUCCAAGCUACUCUUGUCAGUGCAGCCAAGCAAAGCAAUGGUGCCUUUAAAUUUUCAUGCAGCUUCCAGUUUUUGUUUGGGUUCUGUAGGGACCGAGAUUCUGGAUACCUCACUCCCUUGAUUCAGAAUGACUCCACUGAGUCAUUGCUCCGUUGGCAAUGUCAGCCUGUUUCACAUCGGAACUACAGGACCACCCGAGAAAUCCAGAUAAGAAGGUUCCAGGGCUCGGCGAGGUAUUCGAGAGUAGCAUCGCCGUCGCCUCGGAGACUGCUGCAGCCGCAAACAACAUUCCACCUGAUCAGUAUCUACACCGAUGGAGGAGACUGAUCCGUGUGACGCGCGCCAAGCUAAGGAAGCGCACGGCCACCGAAGUUCCUGUUGGGAAUUAGCUGCAGGCCAUUGUUUUUCCUUUCCCUGCACAUUGUGUUGAUCUUUUUAUUUUUUUGGGGUUUUAGGAUGUCAUGUUGUUUGGUGGAAUGGAGAUGUGCUAUUGAAUUGGUUCUUUGUGACACAGUUGAUUAUCUUGUUUCUGUGCUUUCUUAGUGCCCUUUUCUUGUGAUUUAAGUUGUAAGUAACACUUUCCCUACGCAUGUGAAUACUGGUUAGCGGCACGGGCAACGAACGCCUG